GACGAACGCUGGCGGCGUGCUUAACACAUGCAAGUCGAACGGAAAGGCCCUGCUUUUGUGGGGUGCUCGAGUGGCGAACGGGUGAGUAACACGUGAGUAACCUGCCCUUGACUUUGGGAUAACUUCAGGAAACUGGGGCUAAUACCGGAUAGGAGCUCCUGCUGCAUGGUGGGGGUUGGAAAGUUUCGGCGGUUGGGGAUGGACUCGCGGCUUAUCAGCUUGUUGGUGGGGUAGUGGCUUACCAAGGCUUUGACGGGUAGCCGGCCUGAGAGGGUGACCGGCCACAUUGGGACUGAGAUACGGCCCAGACUCCUACGGGAGGCAGCAGUGGGGAAUAUUGCACAAUGGGGGGAAGCCUGAUGCAGCAACGCCGCGUGCGGGAUGACGGCCUUCGGGUUGUAAACCGCUUUCGCCUGUGACGAAGCGUGAGCGACGGUAAUGGGUAAAGAAGCACCGGCUAACUACGUG
rnacentral:rRNA from 1 species